UAGGGAAUCUUCGGCAAUGGGGGCAACCCUGACCGAGCAACGCCGCGUGAGUGAAGAAGGUUUUCGGAUCGUAAAGCUCUGUUGUAAGAGAAGAACGUGUGUGAGAGUGGAAAGUUCACACAGUGACGGUAACUUACCAGAAAGGGACGGCUAACUACGUGCCAGCCGCCGCGGUAAUACGUAGGUCCCGAGCGUUGUCCGGAUUUAUUGGGCGUAAAGCGAGCGCAGGCGGUUUAAUAAGUCUGAAGUUAAAGGCAGUGGCUUAACCAUUGGUCGCUUUGGAAACUGUUAAACUUGAGUGAAGAAGGGGAGAGUGGAAUUCCAUGUGUAGCGGUGAAAUGCGUAGAUAUAUGGAGGAACACCGGUGGCGAAAGCGGCUCUCUGGUCUGUAACUGACGCUGAGGCUCGAAAGCGUGGGGAGCAAACAGG
rnacentral:rRNA from 1 species